GUCUACAGCCAUACCACCCUGACCGUGUUCGAUCUUGUCUGAUCUCGGAAGCUAAGCAGGGUUGGGCCUGGUUAGUACUUGGAUGGAAGAAUCCAAUGCUUUAUCCA
rnacentral:rRNA from 1 species